rnacentral:rRNA from 1 species
GCAGUCGACGGCAGCACGGGAGCAAUCCUGGUGGCGAGUGGCGAACGGGUGAGUAAUAUAUCGGAACGUGCCCAGUCGUGGGGGAUAACGUAGAGAAAUUUACGCUAAUACCGCAUACGAUCUAAGGAUGAAAGCGGGGGACCGUAAGGCCUCGCGCGAUUGGAGCGGCUGAUAUCAGAUUAGGUUGUUGGUGAGGUAAAAGCUCACCAAGCCGACGAUCUGUAGCUGGUUUGAGAGAACGACCAGCCACACUGGGACUGAGACACGGCCCAGACUCCUACGGGAGGCAGCAGUGGGGAAUUUUGGACAAUGGGCGAAAGCCUGAUCCAGCAAUGCCGCGUGCAGGAAGAAGGCCUUCGGGUUGUAAACUGCUUUUGUACGGAACGAAAAGGUCUGCCCUAAUACGGCGGGCCCAUGACGGUACCGUAAGAAUAAGCACCGGCUAACUACGUGCCAGCAGCCGCGGUAAUACGUAGGGUGCGAGCGUUAAUCGGAAUUACUGGGCGUAAAGCGUGCGCAGGCGGUGAUGUAAGACAGUUGUGAAAUCCCCGGGCUCAACCUGGGAAUUGCGAUGGAGACUGCAAGGCUAGAAUCUGGCAGAGGGGGGUAGAAUUCCACGUGUAGCAGUGAAAUGCGUAGAGAUGUGGAGGAACACCGAUGGCGAAGGCAGCCCCCUGGGUCAAGAUUGACGCUCAUGCACGAAAGCGUG